GUUUAGCUAAAGCCUCUAUCAACAUUUCUACGCUUGCAUGUUUCAAAGCCUCCAGAAGCCAGAGGGCUAUUUUAACACAUUACACUCCAGCAGUUUCUAUUGAUGGAUUUAGCUGGGUGUUGGAAGGACAAGCAAAACCUCAUUUUGGGAAUUCCACCAUCUACAAUUCCUGCAUGUUACAUUCCAACCAGACUCAGAAAUAUAAGGCUUUCCCUAUUACUGCUGGGACAAAACUGCAAGCUCCCUAACAAAAAACACUUGUACAACUACCAGUGCAAUAACUCAAGAAGCAUUGUAUGGGUAUAGUAGGGUAAGAGGCCUGUUUCUGUAUUCCACUGCUCUGCAGCUCUACGUGGUUCAUUUAUGGGAACACUUUAUCCGGCUUUCCAAGCGAUGCAUGGUUAAUAACAGAUACUGCAAAUGGCGUUCUUUACACGUCUUACCACGAAAAAUGGUGAACUUCAAAAAUGGCGUAAAGUAUUAAACAGAGUAACAGUGAGAAGACAUUGGAGGGCGGUGCAGAUGUUGGCUAAACAGCAGCAACACUCCUGAUCAUUUGGUCCUUUGCAUGAUUACCCUGGAGUUACAUGCAGGCUUCGGUUCUUUGCGGGAAUGGGACCAGUUCUCGGGGUUCCAUGACUGGCUGCUAUUCGACAUGCCAAGGGUUUGGCCUGAGAGUCUUGAUUGUGUUCGGAAGCCUAAGAUCUCAGGGCUCUGGAAACGGGCGGAUCGAGGGUUGACGUCACGGGAGGAGACUCAUGUGUCACCGGGAAGGCUGGAAAAUCUUUCACUGUGGGCCCGAAGACCCAAGGUCUUUGCAACCUUCAGACACAGAGCUUGAUAAAAGCGACAAACAGACUUUUAACAUCGUAAACCAGCUGGUUUUUGUUAUGUCUCCCGCUCGCUGUAAAAAUGGGGGACACCUCCCUCUCCCUUGCCAGGGAGAGAGAGAACCUGUGGGUUGUCAAAUUUUGGAUGAAAUGCGAAGCCCUCGGGGUAACUUUGGUCUCUGUUUUUGUUAUCACAUAGCACACGCUUGUGCUCGGU